GAGACAACAUAAAGACGGUACAUGGAAAAAUGACAGAAGUGCUUUGUAGCCAGAGAUCCACAUUCACAGAAUAACUACGAGAACUCAGUAUCUCUUCAGGAAGAGGAACUGGGGCUCGCCUACCACUUCGCAGGAGGCAGGGCACUCCUCAAGCUUUAAGUCCAGCAUGUAAGAAGCUUGGAUGUGGCCACUCCAUUCUAACAAGUAAAAAGCUGAGCAAGCUGCAGCCAACAACUCCUCUUAGAUGGAAUCCAACAAUUCCAUGUACAAAUGAUGAUGGUUCAGCCAAGAUUCCAGCCCACCCCACUGGAGGAUCCCGUGGACCUGGCCACCAAGAAGUUUCACUCAAAUCACCCAUCAGCACGUUAAUGUA